rnacentral:tRNA from 3 species
GGAGCCAUAGCUCAAUUGGUUAGAGCGCUGCCCUGUCACGGCAGAGGUCGCGGGUUCGAGUCCCGUUGGCUCCGCCA